UUGCAGACGUUUUCUACAAAGUAGUUCAAAAUAGUUACCAAAAAAAAAAAAUGAAGUGCUUUCAAGCUACAGUGGUCCCUCUACUUACGAACGUCUCUUCAUACGAAAUGUUCAAGUUACAAAACACCUCAACGGGGAAAAUAUUGCCUCUUGUUCCAAAAGAAAUGUCAAGAUACGAAAGGUUAAAAAAAAAAAAAUAAUACAGUCGGGGCCGCAAGUCCCUGAACGCGACAUACUUGGAGUUGCUCUGCCAUUGGCUGUUACUUGGCGCCUUACCACUUAUGAGCGAGAACAUGAACUAAAGAAGGCAACAAAAAAAACAACGAGGACGCAGUUAAAAGUGAAAUGACCGUCAUUUUUAUGUUUUAUGUUCGACUCUGUUCGUAUUUUGCAAGAAUCUAAUGCUAACAUGUUUUUGUGGCAUAUUUGGAUGCUUUUUUACACUUUCGGAAACAUUUCUGAAUUUUUUUGGGGGGGGCUUGGAACGAAUUAGGGCAUUUCUCCGCAGGGUGUCCGGGCUCUCCCUUAGAGAUAAGGUGAGAAGCUCGGUCAUCCGGGAGGGGCUCCGAGUCGAGCCGCUUCUCCUCCACAUCGAGAGGAGCCAGAUGAGGUGGCUUGGGCAUCUGAUUCGGAUGCCUCCUGAGCGCCUCCCUGGUGAGAAGCUCGGUCAUCCGGGAGGGGCUCCGAGUCGAGCCGCUUCUCCUCCACAUCGAGAGGAGCCAGAUGAGGUGGCUUGGGCAUCUGAUUCGGAUGCCUCCUGAGCGCCUCCCCGGUGAGAAGCUCGGUCAUCCGGGAGGGGCUCAGAGUCGAGCCGCUUCUCCUCCACAUCGAGAGGAGCCAGAUGAGGUGGCUUGGGCAUCUGAUUCGGAUGCCUCCUGAGCGCCUCCCUGGUGAGGUGUUCCGGGCAUGUCCCACCGGGAGGAGACCCCGAGGAAGACCCAGGACACGCUGGAGAGACUAUGUCACCCAGCUGGCCUGGGAACGACUCGGGAUCCCCCAGGGAGAGCUGGAAGAAGUAGCUAGGGAGAGGGAAGUCUGGGCUUCCCUGCUAAAGAUGUUGCCCCCGCGACCCGGCCCCGGAUAAGCGGUAGAUGAUGGAUGGAUGGAUGGAUGGAUGGAUGGAUGGACAUGAAAAACGCGUCUCUACUUAGAACAUUUUCGAGUGAAGAAAUUUCUUCCGGAACCAAUUAAUUGCGUAAGUAGAAGUACCGUUGUAUUU